AGAAAUGGUGCUACCCAGCUCAAGCCUGGGCCUUUGAAUCCGGACACAAAACCCUCUAGCUUGGAAAUGAAUAUGCUGCACUUUACAACCACUGCACUACCUGACUCAGGAAUCGGCUCUGGAAGCUAGAGGAACCAGACCUCAUCAGCCCAACAUCAAAGACACCAUCGGAACAGCAGCGCCCGCAGCACCCACCCCGCACCGGCGACUCCAUCUUCAUGGCCACCCCCUGCGGCGGACGGUUGACCACCAGCCACCACAUCAUCCCAGAGCUGAGCUCCUCCAGCGGGAUGACGCCGUCCCCACCACCUCCCUCUUCUUCUUUUUCAUCCUUCUGUCUCUUUGUUUCUGAGCUUUCCUGUCUUUCCUUUUUUCUGAGAGAUUCAAAGCCUCCACGACUCUGUUUCCCCCGUCCCUUCUGAAUUUAAUUUGCACUAAGUCAUUUGCACUGGUUGGAGUUGUGGAGACGGCCUUGAGUCUCAGUACGAGUGUGCGUGAGUGUGAGCCACCUUGGCAAGUGCCUGUGCAGGGCCCGGCCGCCCUCCAUCUGGGCCGGGUGACUGGGCGCCGGCUGUGUGCCCGAGGCCUCACCCUGCCCUCGCCUAGUCUGGAAGCUCCGACCGACAUCACGGAGCAGCCUUCAAGCAUUCCAUUACGCCCCAUCUCGCUCUGUGCCCCUCCCCACCAGGGCUUCAGCAGGAGCCCUGGACUCAUCAUCAAUAAACACUGUUACAGCA
rnacentral:lncRNA from 1 species